rnacentral:rRNA from 1 species
AAUCAACGCUGGCGGCGUGCCUAACACAUGCAAGUCGAACGAGAAAGGGGAGCAAUCCCUGAGUACAGUGGCGACCGGGUGAGUAACACGUGACUACCUACCCUUGAGUGGGGGAUAACCUCGGGAAACCGAGGCUAAUACCGCAUAAUAUCGAGAGAUCAAAGGAGCAAUCCGCUCUUGGAGGGGGUCGCGGCUGAUUAGCUAGUUGGUGAGGUAAUGGCUCACCAAGGCGAAGAUCGGUAUCCGGCCUGAGAGGGCGCACGGACACACUGGAACUGAAACACGGUCCAGACUCCUACGGGAGGCAGCAGGUGGGGAAUUUUGCGCAAGUGGGGGAAACCCUGACGCAGCAACGCCGCGUGGAGGAUGAAGCUCCUUGGAGUGUAAACUCCUUUCGAA